rnacentral:lncRNA from 1 species
UAUCAAUGCCUGCAUUAAUGGAAGCUUCAACGGAGUAAGUGUAGUUUGAUCUAUGUGGCGUUGUGAUCCUAUCAAUUCCCAUCCAAUCAGAGAUAACAAAGCCUUGGAAUUUGAGAGUGUUCUUGAGGUAAUCAGUGAUCAAUGCGCGGUUUGCAUGCAUCUUAACACCGUUAAUACUAGAGUAAGAAGCCAUGAUCGAUGAGAUCCCUUUCUUGACCGCUAUCUCAAAUGGAGGCAUAUGGAUACCAAAGAUAGUAGCAUUAUCACCCACAGUGUUGUCCUCAUUGAUUCCAUUUACUGUCCCUCCGUCCCCAACAAAAUGCUUGGCAACCCCAGCCACAUUGAUCCUAACCGCGUAGAGGCAUGUUUUCACAUUAGUCAACUAGUGAUCAAGAUCAAUAAAAAUUUAGAUACAAAUUAAACAAGCUAGUAUAUAGUUCUUGGUUAAUUAAUUACUUUUGAUCAGCAAUGUAAGGAGCAUUUCCUUGUAAUCCAUCGAUGAUACCCUCGGUCAUCAUAUUCACAACCUUAGUGUCUUCACUGUAGCUCUCGUAACACCUUCCCCAUCUAGGAUCUCUG